GAGGGAGGGUAUGAAACAUGUAAAACAUAUCUGAGAAAGUGCCCAUCCCGUCAUCCUUGGUUGCCUGAAUACCUUGACUCCCACUGGGAGGAGAACGGACACAUCACAGAGUCCUAGUUAUUGAGGAGGCAGGAAGACACGAUCAGUCACGACCAUACCAUGAAGCAAAGAGAAUCCAGACACAGCAGUGUGAGCUGUGGGAUUCUGUUGGCUAAAAUGUCCCGAUUCUUGGUGACGGGACAUAACAGAGGCCAAGGUGAAGAUCUGCCUUGGAGGCAGAGAGGAAGGGGAAGGCGCGUAAGGUGCAGCCCUUGAAGACUGGGUGUGUUUGGUUUCUGACUGGAGUCUGGUCACACACUUUGGAGUGGGUCGUUCUAACAGACCAACUUAUCCAUUUUGUGGGUGGAUAAAGAAGGGAGUCCCGUGUCACAGGAUAUUGGAACCCCAAGAUCGUGUGCCCAUCCCAAGCACACACUUUUAGUCAAAGAGCUUUGCGUUUAUCAUAAGCAGUCUUAAAUAAAAUCAACCACAGAUCAAGAAGUGGAGCAAAGCAACCAGCUGACGGGGUGGACAUUGAAGUAAAUGGACAGAGUGGGAGGAAGUCAGGAGGAGGGAUAGUGAGGCACACAGGAAGGAGAAGGGAGGGAUGCUCAGUUGGAAGGUUUAUUGGGCUAGUGUGGAGAAGGAGAGCUUUUUCCUUUUGGGAUGCUGGCUGAGCAGCAAGGUCAGCUGGGUGCUUUCUCUGCCCCUCUGAGGCUUUCACCCCAGCAUCUGGCUCCUGACUCUUCACUGGUAAAUGGAACGUUUAAGACUCUGUUAAGAACAACAGUGGGGGUCCACCUACUGAUUGGCUUUCACAGUCGCUCGCUCCUUCCUCCACAGGGGAGUUCAUCUUCUCUUGACUUUCUUUGGUGAACUCCUAUAGAUUGAUCUCAUCUAGACCAGGCUUCUUCUUCUUAAGGAAGCCCUUUUCCUAUUGUAUCAGUCAGCGGUGGCCGCAAAACAAACACGACCAUGAAGAGAGUGAGAACAGUGAUUGUUAGCUCACAUUUCUUUAUUUGGGACGUACGUGAUACCCAUGAGCUGGGGUGUCAGACAGGAGGGCUCCAUCCAGACAGAGUACCCAGGGAGGAAGCCAGCAGCAGGAUAUGACAUAGGCCCGCUGUCUAGGCCCCUCAGUGGCAGAGUGGAGACCAGACCGAGUAUGGAACUCAGGCGGUGACCACUAGCCUGUACAGAUUCGGACCCCAGCCCCGGCACCUCCUUCCUGUGCAGCUUUGGGUGGGCGUGGACUUCUGUCCUGGUGAAAGGGAGUCACAGUGAGUUUUAGAGGCAAUGAUCACACAUAAUGUGCAGAGCUGCUCCCUAUACAUAGUAGGUACACAGCAAGGACCCUGUAGUCUGCUUGCUCUGGCAGACUAAUGUCACUCAGAGAUCCCUGGUGGCAGGGGAUCCUGACUCAUUCAGUGACCUUGGUAUCCUCAGUUCUGCAGUGACUAUGGCCUGGAGCAGCUGUGACUGGGUGGCCCCUCUCCAGGUGCAGGUGCUGGACCUGCAGGAUCCUCCAGUGUGUCUCAGAGCCAGCCCCAUGUUUAAGGUAUUGCUGAACCCACUGACAGAAAGUCCUAUGACAGUGUCUCCUUUGUUAAUCAGCCAAACCUUCCCGGUGCCAGGUUAGCAGGGCCAUAUUUGCCUCACUUUAGGGCUUGCCCUAGGAUGCAGGUCAAAGGUAACCAGGCCCCUCCACCACCAGCAGUGUGGACCGCAACGUGGCGUGGCGUUAAUGUUGGAGUAAGUUGGCACUAGUCGCUGCGGGCUGUGUGGGAGCCCUGCCUCCUCUCCCUCUCCUUCUAACUUGGGAACUGACUCUCUUUCUAACCAGUUCCUCUACCCUUGGGGUCAUUCACUGGCCUUAGCAGGAAGCUGGAAGAGAGGAUGGGAGGGAGGAGGGGCUUGGGGAGAUCCAUCCACAGCAGAGAUAGCAGGACUCUGGUACUUCACCGGGAUCCUAAGCUGCCUGCCUGGUUUCUUGUGCCCUGUUUUAAGAACAGGUUUCUUUUUGAUACCAACCUUUCUGGAAAGAACUGCCCACGCGAACAUCACCUGCCCUGCGACCCGAUCAUUGCAGAACUCCUUCAGCAAAGCAGGAGGCUGGCUCCUGACAGACCUCUGGUCCUGAGGUCAGGCUCCCCUCUCCAGCAUCCCCAUCCACGAGAGGCACCGUGGGUGGCAUGUCCCUAGUAGCAGGGCCCUUUCGCCAUCACAAAGAGAACCCACUUCUCCCAAAUGAAUGGAACCCCAACUUCAGGAACACAUGGUCUCACUGCAGUGUGCGGACAGGUGGGGGAUUCUCGGCUCUACUUGAUCCUGACAGGAUAUGGGACAACUGUGGCCACUAAGCAUCUAGACCUCAUGGCUCAUGGAUUUCAUAGCAGAAUCCAUGCCCCAAUCCUGUGCAUUCUCAGGGGGCUGCUGGGUGCUCAGUGGUGAUAUAAGGGGACACACACACACGCUCAGGACAAUGAGGCAGCAAAUAGGGGUGUAGCGUCUGGGUCACAGUGACACUGGGAGGGAGGGAGAGGCGCCUGUGGUAGGAAGGAAGUUAGAGAUGUGCGUAGAAGGAACCAAGGGCUGAGAAUCAGGAAGGUGGAAGAGUAUCUAGCUGUGGGCAGAAGAGUCCAUUGUGGUGUCAGACUAGCUUUAAAGGAAUGGGGAGGGUGCACAGGACACCCAGACUUCCCCACAUGUCCCUGUCAGAGAAUGUCUCCAUCUUCUCAGGGUUUCUUGCAGUCUCCCUCAUUUACUUCCUUCCCUGGCCACUUCUUUCACCAGGACUCGCUGGUACUCACCGUCAGCCGUCAGCCGCUGUGCAGGGCACAGGUGGUCCCAUGCCAGUCCCUGCCUCUGCCACCAGGGACAUAAAGGGCAGUUUGAUGUGGAAGGACUCAGUAAUAGCAGUGUCGUGCCACAGUGAGAAAGUGUGUCUCUGCUAGAGGUGCUCCCGCCCCCAGAACCAUUCUCUUCCAAGCAAAGCAAAGUUACAUUGUUAUACCUGUCAGAUGGCUUGAGGGAAGGCCGUGUGCCAGCAUCUAGUGCCCCGGAACACCUCAAAUGGAUCCUGGAAGGACUUCAUGGUGACCGGGCUUGGUGGGGUGCAGCUGCUCAUUUUGACAGGCUGGAAGAGAGGACCAGGAGAGCAAGCAAAAGGAGGCAGUGGAGACAAGCAAUACCCUUCCAAAGCAUGUCCCCCAUAGUGGCCUCUUCCCUUAAACUCUCCCUCUGCCUCCCAACUUCCCAUUGCCUCCCAACACCACUGCCAGUUAUAACUCUAUCGAGGGACUUUCCAUUGAUGAAGACAGCACCUGUUUGCUGGUUCAUCUAAUCUGUGUCUGGAUUCAUCUAUACUGUCAUUGCUAUAGGCAGUGUGUGUGUGUGUGU
rnacentral:sRNA from 1 species